rnacentral:rRNA from 1 species
UUUGUAAUUGGAUUGAAGGCGACCCAAACCCUCGCCAGAAUACCAAUUGGAGGGCAAGUCUGGUGCCAGCAGCCGCGGUAAUUCCAGCUCCAAUAGCGUAUAUUAAACUUGUUGCAGUUAAAAAGCUCGUAAUUGAACUUCCGCCUUGCGCGUCCUGCGGGUCUGCGCGCGGCCUUUGCGUUACUUUGAUAAAAUUAUAGUGUUUCAAGCAGGCUUUCUCCGUGAAUACUUGAUCAUGGAAUAACUGGGCAGGACCUUGGUUCUUCUUUGUUGGUUUUGUACCUGGGUAAUGGUUAAUAGGAACGGUUGGGGGCAUUCGUAUUUAACUGUCAGAGGUGAAAUUCUAAGAGGGGGCAUUCUUAUUUAACUGUCAAAGGUGAAAUUCUUAAA